rnacentral:rRNA from 1 species
UACAGAGGGGGCAAGCGUUGUUCGGAAUUACUGGGCGUAAAGGGCGCGUAGGCGGCCUGCUAAGUCGAACGUGAAAUCCCCGGGCUCAACCCGGGAACUGCGUCCGAUACUGGCAGGCUUGAAUCCGGGAGAGGGAUGCGGAAUUCCAGGUGUAGCGGUGAAAUGCGUAGAUAUCUGGAGGAACACCGGUGGCGAAGGCGGCAUCCUGGACCGGCAUUGACGCUGAGGCGCGAAAGCCAGGGGGGCAAACGGG